rnacentral:rRNA from 1 species
UACGUAGGGGGCUAGCGUUGUCCGGAAUCAUUGGGCGUAAAGCGCGUGUAGGCGGUCCGGUAAGUCCGCUGUGAAAGUCCGGGGCUCAACCCCGGGAGGCGGGCGGAUACUGUCGGGCUAGAGUCCGGAAGAGGCGAGUGGAAUUCCUGGUGUAGCGGUGAAAUGCGCAGAUAUCAGGAGGAACACCGAUGGCGAAGGCAGGUCUCUGGGCCACUACUGACGCUGAGAAGCGAAAGCAUGGGGAGCGAACAGG